UCCUGGCUCAGGACGAACGCUGGCGGCGUGCCUAAUACAUGCAAGUCGAGCGGACAGAUGGGAGCUUGCUCCCUGAUGUUAGCGGCGGACGGGUGAGUAACACGUGGGUAACCUGCCUGUAAGACUGGGAUAACUCCGGGAAACCGGGGCUAAUACCGGAUGGUUGUUUGAACCGCAUGGUUCAAACAUAAAAGGUGGCUUCGGCUACCACUUACAGAUGGACCCGCGGCGCAUUAGCUAGUUGGUGAGGUAAUGGCUCACCAAGGCAACGAUGCGUAGCCGACCUGAGAGGGUGAUCGGCCACACUGGGACUGAGACACGGCCCAGACUCCUACGGGAGGCAGCAGUAGGGAAUCUUCCGCAAUGGACGAAAGUCUGACGGAGCAACGCCGCGUGAGUGAUGAAGGUUUUCGGAUCGUAAAGCUCUGUUGUUAGGGAAGAACAAGUACCGUUCGAAUAGGGCGGUACCUUGACGGUACCUAACCAGAAAGCCACGGCUAACUACGUGCCAGCAGCCGCGGUAAUACGUAGGUGGCAAGCGUUGUCCGGAAUUAUUGGGCGUAAAGGGCUCGCAGGCGGUUUCUUAAGUCUGAUGUGAAAGCCCCCGGCUCAACCGGGGAGGGUCAUUGGAAACUGGGGAACUUGAGUGCAGAAGAGGAGAGUGGAAUUCCACGUGUAGCGGUGAAAUGCGUAGAGAUGUGGAGGAACACCAGUGGCGAAGGCGACUCUCUGGUCUGUAACUGACGCUGAG
rnacentral:rRNA from 1 species